UACGUAGGGGGCGAGCGUUAUCCGGAAUUAUUGGGCGUAAAGGGUGUGCAGGCGGUUUGCUAAGUUCGUGGCGACAGUCAUUGGCUUAACUGAUGGAGGACUGCGAAAACUGGCAGACUUGAGAGCGAGAGAGGGACAUGGAACUCCGGGUGGAGCGGUGACAUGCGUAGAGAUCCGGAAGAAAACACCAAAGGCGAAGGCAAUGUCCUGGCUCGCCUCUGAUGUUCAAGCACGAAAGCUAGGGGAGCAAACAGG
rnacentral:rRNA from 1 species